GACGAACGCUGGCGGCGUGCUUAACACAUGCAAGUCGAACGCUGAAGCUCAGCUUUUGUUGGGUGGAUGAGUGGCGAACGGGUGAGUAACACGUGAGUAACCUGCCCCCUUCUUUGGGAUAACGCCCGGAAACGGGUGCUAAUACUGGAUAUUCACUGGUCUUCGCAUGGGGGCUGGUGGAAAGGGUUUUUCUGGUGGGGGAUGGGCUCGCGGCCUAUCGGCUUGUUGGUGGGGUGAUGGCCUACCAAGGCUUUGACGGGUAGCCGGCCUGAGAGGGUGACCGGUCACAUUGGGACUGAGAUACGGCCCAGACUCCGACGGGAGGCAGCAGUGGGGAAUAUUGCACAAUGGGCGCAAGCCUGAUGCAGCGACGCCGCGUGAGGGAUGGAGGCCGUCGGGUUGUGAACCUCUUUCGCUCAUGGUCAAGCCGCAACAAUGGUUGUGGUGAGGGUAGUGGGUAAAGAAGCGCCGGCUAACUACGUG
rnacentral:rRNA from 1 species